rnacentral:rRNA from 1 species
GAUGAACGCUGGCGGCGUGCUUAACACAUGCAAGUCGAACGAUGAAGCCCAGCUUGCUGGGUGGAUUAGUGGCGAACGGGUGAGUAACACGUGAGUAACCUGCCCUUGACUCUGGGAUAAGCCUGGGAAACUGGGUCUAAUACUGGAUAUGACUUCUCAUCGCAUGGUGGGGGGUGGAAAGAUUUAUUGGUCUUGGAUGGACUCGCGGCCUAUCAGCUUGUUGGUGAGGUAAUGGCUCACCAAGGCGACGACGGGUAGCCGGCCUGAGAGGGGGACCGGCCAAACUGGGACUGAGACACGGCCCGGACUCCUACGGGAGGCAGCGGUGGGAAAUAUUGCACAAUGGGCGCAAGCCUGAUGCAGCGACGCCGCGUGAGGGAUGACGGCCUUCGGGUUGUAAACCUCUUUCAGUAGGGAAGAAGCGAGAGUGACGGUACCUGCAGAAGAAGCGCCGGCUAACUACGUG